UACAUGGGGUGCAAACGUUGCUCGGAAUCAUUGGGCGUAAAGCGCGCGUAGGCGGUUGCUUAAGUCGGAUGUGAAAGCCCUCGGCUUAACUGAGGAAGUGCAUCCGAAACUGAGCAGCUAGAGUACGAAAGAGGGUCGCGGAAUUCCCGGUGUAGAGGUGAAAUUCGUAGAUAUCGGGAGGAACACCGGUGGCGAAAGCGGCUUCCUGGCCCGACACUGACGCUCAUGUGACGAAAGCGUGGGGAGCAAACAGG
rnacentral:rRNA from 1 species